UUUGUGGUCGAAACCAUGAUUGCCAGGAGC
rnacentral:piRNA from 2 species